AUCAUGCAUCCACUCAAGACUGAACCUUGGCAUCAGAGAGAAGUCUAAGAAAGUGCGAAAGAAUAUGUGGAUCUCAUCAUCAGCCGUGGCAAAGUGUAUAUGUCUCGUUGGACCUGACCUGACCUGGCAGGCAUCGCCCACAUGGCCUCCUCUGCUAAGUGCUAACUAAGCCCAGAUCAAAUCCGAUUGUUUAAGCGCAGCAAAUCUUGGAAGAAACAUGGCUGUCUCGCGACACAAUGCUGAUCCCCAAAUCUGAAAGGAUAUGUGGUUCUCCUGUUGGUUAAUCAAGGCAUCUAUCACUGCAGUGCAAGUCAAGUCCAAGGUAAUUAAGCGGCUCCAUCAGUUUUGUAUAACGAGGACUGAGGGGUGCUUAGCUGUGCUGUAAGAACCGACCAAUUUCAGAGGAUUUUAACCUGGCUCCUGACGACAAAAACAUGUACGCACAGCUAGCAAUGCCUGGGAUGUGAGGGACAGCCGGCCGCGUGCAGCCUGUAAAUACUGUAAUGCCGUACAAACAAUUUAUACAUGGGUGGUUAGCUGACCCAGAAUAUGUAGUAUGUACAUUUUUGUCGCAAAAACUGAGAAUGUUUGCAGUGUUCUGGCAUGAGAGGGAGAGAGUAUUCGU